rnacentral:rRNA from 1 species
GUGGGGAAUAUUGGGCAAUGGGCGAAAGCCUGACCCAGCCACGCCGCGUGAGUGAUGAAGGCCUUCGGGUUGUAAAGCUCUGUGGGGAGGGAAGAAAAAGCGGGAGAGUAACUGCUCUCGUGUUGACGGUACCUCCUUAGCAAGCACCGGCUAACUCUGUGCCAGCAGCCGCGGUAAUACAGAGGGUGCAAACGUUGCUCGGAAUUACUGGGCGUAAAGCGCGUGUAGGCUGACAUGCAAGUCGGGUGUGAAAUCCCAGGGCUCAACCUUGGAACUGCACUCGAAACUGCACGUCUUGAGUACUGGAGAGGGAAGCGGAAUUCCGGGUGUAGAGGUGAAAUUCGUAGAUAUCCGGAGGAACACCAGUGGCGAAGGCGGCUUCCUGGACAGUAACUGACGCUGAGACGCGAAAGCGUGGGGAGCAAACAGGAUUAGAAACCCCAGUAGUCC